UGGGGAAUAUUGCACAAUGGAGGGAACUCUGAUGCAGCGACGCCGCGUGAACGAAGAAGGCCUUCGAUUCGUAAAGUUCUUUUAUAUGGGAAGAUAAUGACGGUAUCAUAAGAAAAAGCCCCGGCUAACUACGUGCCAGCAGCCGCGGCAAUACGUAGGGGGCUAGCGUUUUCCGGAAUCACUGGGCGUAAAGGGUUCGCAGGCGGAAAUGCAAGUCAGGUGUAAAAGGCAGUAGCUUAACUACUGUAAGCAUUUGAAACUGCAUAACUUGAGAAGAGUAGAGGUAAGUGGAAUUUUUAGUGUAGCGGUGAAAUGCGUAGAUAUUAAAAAGAAUACCGGUGGCGAAGGCGACUUACUGGGCUCAUUCUGACGCUGAGGAACGAAAGCGUGGGUAGCAAACAGG
rnacentral:rRNA from 1 species